rnacentral:rRNA from 1 species
CAGUAGCCGCGGUAACACGAGGGGAGCUAGCGUUGUUCGGAAUUACUGGGCGUAAAGCGCGCGUAGGCGGCUUUUUAAGUCAGAGGUGAAAGCCCGGGGCUCAACCCCGGAAUUGCCUUUGAAACUGGAAAGCUAGAAUCUUGGAGAGGUCAGUGGAAUUCCGAGUGUAGAGGUGAAAUUCGUAGAUAUUCGGAAGAACACCAGUGGCGAAGGCGACUGACUGGGCCAACACUGACACUGGGGCACGAAAGCGUGGGGAGCAAACAGGAUUAGAUACCCCUGUAGUCCCUGUCUCUUAUAA